rnacentral:rRNA from 1 species
AGCCGGAAUUGCUAGUAAUCGCGGAUCAGCAUGCCGCGGUGAAUACGUUCCCGGGCCUUGUACACACCGCCCGUCACACCAUGGGAGCCGGUAAUACCCGAAGUCAGUAGUCCAACCUCGUGAGGACGCUGCCGAAGGUAGGAUUGGCGACUGGGGUGAAGUCGUAACAAGGUACC